rnacentral:rRNA from 1 species
UACGGGGGGGGCAAGCGUUGUUCGGAAUUACUGGGCGUAUAGAGCUCGUAGGUGGUUUGUCGCGUUGUCCGUGAAAACUCACAACUCAAUUGUGGGCGUGCGGGCGAUACGGGCAGACUGGAGUACUGCAGGGGAGACUGGAAUUCCUGGUGUAGCGGUGGAAUGCGCAGAUAUCAGGAGGAACACCGGUGGCGAAGGCGGGUCUCUGGGCAGUAACUGACGCUGAGGAGCGAAAGCGUGGGGAGCGAACAGG